rnacentral:rRNA from 1 species
GUAAGUCGAGCGGACAGAUGGGAGCUUGCUCCCUGAUGUUAGCGGCGGACGGGUGAGUAACACGUGGGUAACCUGCCUGUAAGACUGGGAUAACUCCGGGAAACCGGGGCUAAUACCGGAUGCUUGUUUGAACCGCAUGGUUCAAACAUAAAAGGUGGCUUCGGCUACCACUUACAGAUGGACCCGCGGCGCAUUAGCUAGUUGGUGAGGUAAUGGCUCACCAAGGCAACGAUGCGUAGCCGACCUGAGAGGGUGAUCGGCCACACUGGGACUGAGACACGGCCCAGACUCCUACGGGAGGCAGCAGUAGGGAAUCUUCCGCAAUGGACGAAAGUCUGACGGAGCAACGCCGCGUGAGUGAUGAAGGUUUUCGGAUCGUAAAGCUCUGUUGUUAGGGAAGAACAAGUACCGUUCGAAUAGGGCGGUACCUUGACGGUACCUAACCAGAAAGCCACGGCUAACUACGUGCCAGCAGCCGCGGUAAUACGUAGGUGGCAAGCGUUGUCCGGAAUUAUUGGGCGUAAAGGGCUCGCAGGCGGUUCCUUAAGUCUGAUGUGAAAGCCCCCGGCUCAACCGGGGAGGGUCAUUGGAAACUGGGGAACUUGAGUGCAGAAGAGGAGAGUGGAAUUCCACGUGUAGCGGUGAAAUGCGUAGAGAUGUGGAGGAACACCAGUGGCGAAGGCGACUCUCUGGUCUGUAACUGACGCUGAGGAGCGAAAGCGUGGGGAGCGAACAGGAUUAGAUACCCUGG